rnacentral:rRNA from 1 species
AUUGAACGCUGGCGGCAGGCCUAACACAUGCAAGUCGAGCGGUUGAGGGGAGCUUGCUCCCUGAUUCAGCGGCGGACGGGUGAGUAAUGCCUAGGAAUCUGCCUAUUAGUGGGGGACAACGUUUCGAAAGGAACGCUAAUACCGCAUACGUCCUACGGGAGAAAGCAGGGGACCUUCGGGCCUUGCGCUAAUAGAUGAGCCUAGGUCGGAUUAGCUUGUUGGUGAGGUAAUGGCUCACCAAGGCGACGAUCCGUAACUGGUCUGAGAGGAUGAUCAGUCACACUGGAACUGAGACACGGUCCAGACUCCUACGGGAGGCAGCAGUGGGGAAUAUUGGACAAUGGGCGAAAGCCUGAUCCAGCCGUGCCGCGUGUGUGAAGAAGGUCUUCGGAUUGUAAAGCACUUUAAGUUGGGAGGAAGGGUUGUAGAUUAAUACUCUGCAAUUUUGACGUUACCGACAGAAUAAGCACCGGCUAACUCUGUGCCAGCCGCCGCAGUAAGAC